UCAGGUCCUUUGGAAGAGCAGCCAGUGCU
rnacentral:piRNA from 1 species